GACGAACCGUGCAAACGUUAUUCGGAAUCACUGGGCUUAAAGCGUGCGUAGGCGGCUGAGAAAGUUGGGUGUGAAAUCCCUCGGCUCAACCGAGGAAUUGCGCUCAAAACUACUUGGCUUGAGGGAGUUAGAGGUGAGCGGAACUAAUGGUGGAGCGGUGAAAUGCGUUGAUAUCAUUAGGAACACCGGUGGCGAAGGCGGCAUCCUGGACCGGCAUUGACGCUGAGGAGCGAAAGCCAGGGGAGCAAACGGG
rnacentral:rRNA from 1 species